rnacentral:lncRNA from 1 species
GAGGGAAGGGAAGGCAGGGGAACUAGAAAGAAAGCACGAGGACCAGCCAGCUGGGAGAGGCCAGGUCUGUGGAGCACCUGCUCUGUGCGCAGCAGCUGCUGCCUCAGGUGGAGUCUGUGGUUCCCAUGGUUCCUAGAGUGAGGACUCACCCUGCCAGAUGGAGGGCUCUGGGUUCUGCUGAGCACCUUCAGGAGUUCAGUUGUGGUGUUGGCUGUAAGUGACAAGGACCUUGAUCUGGCUGAAGGAAAGAGUGUUGGCUCCUGAGACUGGAAAGCUGAGGGGUCACCCACGUGGUCCAAGAUGGCUGCUGGAGAUCCAGCCAUUACACAAAACUCCAGUCAGCAAGAAGGAAGAAGCAACAAAGAAGGACAUCACCCCCCUCCCCUUUAAGGACACUUUCUAGAAAUUAUAAGAGCACAUGUUUAUGCCCCUUUUGACAGAACUCAGUCACAUACAUGAUCUGGGUGCAAGAAAAAAUGCAAAAUGUGAUUUUUUUUUUUUUUUUUUUUUGGAGACAGAGUCUUGCUCUGUUGCCCAGGCUGGAAUGCAGUGGCACAAUCUCGGCUCACUGCAACAUCCACCUCCUGGGUUCAAGCGAUUCACCUUUCUCAGCCUCCCAAGUAGUUGGGAUUAUAGGCGCUUGCCACCAUGCCAGGCUAAUUUUUGUAUUUUUAGUAGAGACGGGGUUUCGCCAUGUUGGCCAGGCUGGCCUCGAACUCCUGAUCUCAGGUGAUCCACCCACCUCAGCCUCCCAAAGUGCUGGGAUUACAAGUGU